CCUACGGGAGGCAGCAGUGAGGAAUAUUGGUCAAUGGCCGUAAGGCUGAACCAGUCAAGUCGCGUGAAGGAAGAAGGAUCUCUGGUUUGUAAACUUCUUUUAUAGGGGAAUAAAGGUAUCCACGUGUGGAUAUUUGCAUGUACCCUAUGAAUAAGCAUCGGCGAACUCCGUGCCAGCAGCCGCGGUAAUACGGAGGGUGCGAGUGUUAUCCGGAUUUAGUGGGUUUAAAGGGUGCGUAGGUUGUUUGUUAAGUCAGCGGUGAAAGUUUGUGGCUCAACCAUAAAAUUGCCGUUGAAACUGGAAGACUUGAGUGUGUUUGAGGUAGGCGGAAUGCGUGGUGUAGCGGUGAAAUGCAUAGAUAUCACGCAGAACUCCGAUUGCGAAGGCAGCUUACUAAGCCAUAACUGACACUGAAGCACGAAAGCGUGGGGAUCAAACAGGAUUAGAUACCCGGGUAGUC
rnacentral:rRNA from 1 species